CUACCCUUCCCUUCCAACAAGCCUAACACAACCAGCCCCUUUCCCAUCUUAAAAUCAGGCCUAACAAACUAAAGCCACAUCAGCCAAUACCCAGCCCGAUUCCCCUUUACAUUGCCUUCCCUUUACCUGAUUCAACCAACCACCAAAACACCCGUACAACUGCAACAACGCAUCAACAACAGCUCAACAAUAACGGCUAACACUAGUUCAUCCCCAACAUUCAAAUCCCCAAGAAUUGCAGAAUUCUUACAAUAGGGUUACACUAUUUCUGGAAUUUUGAUUGGAGCUAGAGAAUUCUCGAGUUUCUCCCCGAUUUUCCUAUGAAUCUGAUCCUUUUUUCGGUCUGAAUUCAUCAAAAUAGUAAGCUGAAAUUUAAGUUCCUAUCCAUAAUUUUAAAAUCAAAAUUUUUAAUUCGUUAUCCCUAAUAUACUCUUUCGAUUUCCCCUGCAAAACCAGUCUCAAUUUUUCUAUAAAUAGUGGAUGGGAGGUGAGGGAUGGAGGAAGGGACUUUUGGGGGAAGAUUUGAGAAUUUUAGAGGAGAAUUCCUCUAAUCCCAUGUAACCAAGAAUCCAUAAAGAAUUCACUCGAGAAAAUCAAAUUUCAAAAAAAAAAGAUCAAAACUUUGAUGAGAUUGUUUUGAUCUCCGACGGAUUAGAAUUGAGUUCAGUGGUGGAAAUUUCAUCGAUAAACCUUGUUGUCCCAAGUACCUGCUCUGAAAAAGGUAAAAACCUCAUCUUUGACUCUUUUCUUCUUCGAACUUAGCGAAAUUGUGUAACUGAAAUUUAUAGCGCUGUUGUGAUUUGUUGUUGAAUAUAUCGGGUGAGUCUCUCCUAAAUUACAACUCCUAAAAAGUAUAACAUAGUCGCUUGUCAAAUAUAGAAUCCAACAAGGUUGGGGUCGAACCUAUAGGGAAUAGGACAAAAAUCAGUCAGAAGAUUAUUGAUGUAGUUGAAAGUGCAGAAAGUAAACUGGAGGGUUGGGGGUUGUAAGAACAAUAGUAAUAGUAACAAUUGCUGGCUAAUAUGGUUGUUAUUAGUAUGAGAUGAUCCUAGACAAUAGUAAUAGUAACAAUUGCUGGCUAAAAUGUUUGUUAUCAGUAUGAGACGAUCACUAGGAUUGUGUUCCCCUGACUUCUUAACUCCACAGACUUAUCGUGCUCGUCAAACUAUCUUGGUGUCUUACAUGCAGAAUCUAACAAGUUAUGUAUCACCUAACUGUCUCACGACCUUGGUUUGGAUCAAUUUGACUCAUCUCAUCUCAGUCUCAAGAGUGUCAUAUCACUAACCCUUGUUCUAGAUCCCAAAUUAACUAUCUCCUCUCGGUCUCAAAUUAAUUAGAUGAAGGUUGGUAGCUUCAAAUUACUGUUGUGAUCUUUUUUUCCUAAUCUCAACCUCUCUCUCGAGUUAGUAUUGAAUACAGGUAGGUUCUUAAUGUCUGCAGUCAUCAAGAAAGCCAUCAAUACGAAGAAAACCACAAUACAUGCACGAACAUCAAUCAAGAAUGACUUUGCACUUCCUCUACUUCUUUAAUCUAUCAGGGUUCCCACAACCCUAUUUAAGAGGUUUAGCUGCUCAUGAUUGUAAGAGAACACACAGAAUACUUGAAGGCAUAUGAAUGAUCUCGCAAUAAUUAAGAAUGAAAAUCGAAAUCUCAACUUUAUAUCAAACCUUAAAAAUCAAGAACAAGAAUUUCAAGAUAAAAAAUGUAUCUCAUAACUCAAAAUAAUGUAAUAAGUAUGUAAAGUGCGUAAACUAAUAAUAAAAUAUCAAAAGAGUAUUAUAGUUACAUCACAGCUCUCCUAAAUAAAACAGGCUAACUAAGGUCGGCAGUGGCAAUACCUCAGACAAUGAGUCAUCUGGACUGACGACGACUCGUGCAGUUGGUGACGACUCGUCAGGUCACUAGACGAGUCAUUGCCUACUUGUAGGAUCUCCAGCUAGAUUUUAAACCUCUAGAUCUUUAACUUCAUAUGCUCAGAACGAGGGUAGCUACGAGUCGUAGCCUGACCCUACGACUCAUCACCAGCUUUGUUUCCACUGCUAUCAAAAUUUUACUCUUUAGGACUUUUUUUCUUCUUUUGCUCAGAACGACUCUCCCUAUAACUCGUAGUUUAACCCUAUGCGUCGUGGUCACUAUGUACUUCAUUUCUUUUGUUUUAAUCAUUCACUGGUCAGACGAUGGCUUGGAUGACGAGUCUUAGUGUCACCCAAUGACUCGUUGUCCAAGCAGAAGACUACUAUUUUGGUGCUUUUUCUUUCUUGUCCCAUUCUACUCACUUUCGAUCCUGUUUUCCUGCAAAACCAAUAUAAAAACACAUCACAUCUAACAAAAAGACCUAAGUACUGUAUAAUUUUCUUGUUUUCAGCAUCAAAAGUGUCAUAAAAUCAUGAUACAUCAUCGGGUCAUGCAACUCGUUUCAUGGGACUGAUCUAUAUGAAAAUUUGAUAUUGGUUAAGACUUAAGCUUAGGAGUUAAUAGUCAUUCAUAUGAAAAUGAUUUGAAAUGAGUUUGUGUGUUUUGUUUAUGUGAAGUUGAAUUUUUGAACUAACAUUUGUAGUCUAAUAUUUUUCGAUUAAAACAAUGGCUAACACGGAGUCACAAGGUUUGUGGGUUGAAUUUUUUUUUAUGUUUUGAGUAUGUUGAUUGUAUAAUGUUGUGAUUUGAACAUUUUUCUAAGAUAAGGAUUUUUCGAAGAUUUUCUUGACUUAUGAUACAGGUAUAGCCUAUCAAAGUGGGGAUGAAGUAUUUUAGCCUAUCAAAAUGUCUUAGUUGCCUAUCUUCGUCUUUAAAAGUUACUUCCAUGUGUUUCUUUGAGCGUCCAUAUUUAUUUGGCUAGAUUUCUUUAUUUUCUCUUCUUCCCGUAACCAGUAUUUUCUUAAGGUCAAGCUUUGGUCUUGAAUAAGUUUUUCCUACAUUCGCUUAACCCAAUAUAAAUGGCUUCUUUAAGAAGUGACUGAAAGUUUCUUUCUCGUCUAAAAUAGAUUAUAUUCCUCUUAUUUCUUAAGUUUUAACCUUAACUCUAUUUCACUGUUAACUGAAAAUUAAUUUAAUGUGUUGCCUAUAUUUGAAUAUAUGCGGUUACUGCCUUCUUGUGAUGCUUAGUCUGCAUAUCUGGGAUUCCAGUAGGUUACUUUAUUAGGCUGGAGUUUUUGUUCUUCUCAUUACUGAAGGUUAAUACUAAUUUAUUUGAAUAUAAGUUGCUCUAAAAGAUCACCUAAUUGUCCAAGAAAUAUGUCUGUUUUAACAUUGUGUCCGAUCGAUUUCAACAUAUUAAACUAGCUAGUUUCUUUUCUGUAUGGUAUCAUUUUUUGUAUGUUUGACAUAUAUAAGUCUGUCUAUUUUGUUUUCUGAGGUGUACCUAUUGGUCUUUGUUUAUUCUGAAGUACUGCAUGAAUUGCUUUUGGUUUUUUCUUUAGAUCUUUUUUUCCUCUUUUGGAAUUUGGUAUGAGUUUGACGUCCUGUAUUGUAUUUGUUAGGAACAUGUUCAUCGGUUUUAUGUUUUAACUUUUCAUUAUUUAAAAAUUGUUAAUUUCCUAUCAAUAGGCAUCAUAGUUGGCAAGACAAUCUUGUUCUCUUGAAGGCUUGGGUUUUGAGUUUAACAUGUCCAAGCUUGUAGGAAAAAUAUCUGUAAUUAUGCACUCAUAUGGCUUCUUGAUGGUAUGUUGAUCAAAAAGUUAUCUUGAGUCAAUGAAUCUGUUUGUUUGAUAUCUGUGUUACAGUUUAGCAUAAUUAACUUGUUAACCUUAUCGAAAUAUCAUGAUGACAUAAUUCAUUUCCUUUAUUUCUUCGAGUAUAAACUCUUAAUAAAUUGAUUGACUAUUGUUAGUAUUUGUUUACUGUUAACUUAGCAUCUGAGUUAUGUUCGUCACUACUAGAGGUUAUGAUGAAAAUAUAAAGAAUGUAAUUUUUUCUUAUCCUAUUACCCCCAUUAUGUUCAAGUAUUAACUCCUUAUCUUUUCUUUGACACAUGUGAAUUCGUGUGAGUCCAUCGGACUUCCAUCCUUGCAUAAUCUAUGGGAUCAAACCCAAUCCCCUCUCGAAUCAAGCCCCAACGCAGUUCAAAUGGGCUAAGAUGUGAAGAAGUAGGCAGAUAUACGCCGAUAUACUCCAAGAUGCAUCAGGUAUGGAUCAACCAAUCCCCAUUAAAAAAUUUAAGAAAAUAUUCAAAGCCAGAUGAUUACUUCAAGAAUUGCUGGAAGUAUACGAGUACGGAAGUUAAGAAAAAUCCAUAACGCAUAUAAGCUAUUUGCCUAAUCAAUAUGUAAGUUACAAUUAUGUGAAAGUCACUUAAUCAUAAUCAGAUAUCACAUAUGGUAUGAGGUGGACAAAGCUAAGAAGGCGAAGACUGAUGAAAGAUGAUCUGGAUGCUAGUGUUUGUCUAUUUUUAUCCUAUGUGUAGGACUAUUCUUCUCGCAUUUUAUUUUGUCUUUUCUCAGAAAAUUGUAUCCCUCAUUUUUUACUUUGUUGGCAUUUAGGAGUUUUUAUUUUUAUCCUCUGACUGAGACUGUUUUUCUCGCAUUUUUAUUUCCCUUUUCCCAACUAUUGUAUCCCUCACUUGCUAAUUAGUAAACAUCUAUGUCCUUUUGAAUAUUUAUGAAAGUAAUUUUGGUGGAUAAU